rnacentral:RNase_P_RNA from 1 species
AAAGUGGGUUGGACGAUCGCUGGGUGCUGCAAGGCCUCCAGAGGAAGGUCCGGACUCCAUCGGACGAGGUGCUGGCUAAAGGCCAGGCGCAGCAAGUUAAGGUUGCCCUCGGGCAGCCAAGACCCAAGGCGACGGAAAGUGGCACAGAAAAGAUACCGCCUGCCAGGUCUCGACUUGGUAGGUAAGGGUGAAAUGGUGGGGUAAGAGCCCACCGCGGCGUUGGCGACAGCGCUGGCAGGCUAAACCCCACCUGGAGCAACACCAAAUAGGCAUGCGCGCGCCAGCCUUCGUGCUUGGCCCAUCGAUGGUCCAUCGCUGAUUGCGUAUGUGGGUAGGUGGCAUGAGCGGGCUUGUAAAAGCCCGCCAAGAUGAAUGAUCGUCAGGCUUUUUGCCCUACAGAAUCCGGCCUACAGACCCGCUUUCCCC